CAGCACCUCAAGUGGUCAGGAUGAUUAUUGGGCCUAAAGCAUCCGUAGCCGGCGCUGUAAGUUUUCGGUUAAAUCUGUACGCUCAACGUACAGGCUGCCGGGAAUACUGCAGCGCUAGGGAGUGGGAGAGGUAGACGGUACUCGGUAGGAAGGGGUAAAAUCCUUUGAUCUAUUGAUGACCACCUGUGGCGAAGGCGGUCUACCAGGACACGUCCGACGGUGAGGGAUGAAAGCUGGGGGAGCAAACCGGAUUAGAUACCCGAGUAGUCC
rnacentral:rRNA from 1 species